rnacentral:lncRNA from 1 species
CUCCAACAAGGGGCUCAUUGUCCUGUACUCUCCCCUGACCCCAGCAAUCUUAUCAACUACGGACAAUUAACUGUGUCACAGGAAGAGAGGCUGAAGGUGACACUACAGACUUUGUCUCUGGCUGACAUCUAUUAUUUUGAGGCCCUCCAUGCAACUGUAUUACCUGAGAGGCUUUUUAACUGUGCGUAUCUGACAAACCCAAUAUGGCUGAGAUGGAGAAAGUUGAAAUUGAAGACAGAAAUGCAAGAGAAAAAUCAGCUGCCUCCAAAAGAAACAAAGGGAUGGAAGAAGGAAGCAGACAAGUGGAAAUGAGGCCAGUAGGCCCUGUCCAUUCUGCAAGCAUUGCUUUCUUAUUUUCCUUCUUUUCGCUGUUUGACUUUGUAAGAUGCCAAGGGUAGAUCAAGUUUAAACAUCCAUGUUCCCUUUUCACAUCAAAGAACGGUGAACUACUGACAACCAAGGCUAUGCCUGCCUCUCCCAUCUGCCUGCCUGGCUGGCAGAGAAAGAAAAUAACUCACACGCUGGUGAAGGAAGAAGCUGAGUAAGAUGACAAUGAAAUUAGGGGGGAAAUCCAAGCUGGUCCCCAGUGCCUUGUAGGGUGUAAAAUGUGGAUUAAUCAGAAUGCCAUUUAAAAAAUUCAAAUGAUCUUGAUUAUUGGAG